ACAAGACUCUCAACAACGGAUCUCUUGGUUCUGGCAUCGAUGAAGAACGUAGCGAAAUGCGAUAAGUGGUGUGAAUUGCAGAAUCCCGCGAACCAUCGAGUCUUUGAACGCAAGUUGCGCCCGAGGCCCCCGGGCCGAGGGCACACCUGCCUGGGCGUCACGC
rnacentral:rRNA from 1 species